rnacentral:rRNA from 1 species
AACCUGCCUUCAGGAUGGGGACAACAGACGGAAACGACUGCUAAUACCGAAUACGUUCCACGGCCGCAUGACCUGUGGAAGAAAGGGUAGCCUCUACCUGUAAGCUAUCGCCUGAAGAGGGGUUUGCGUCUGAUUAGGCAGUUGGUGGGGUAACGGCCCACCAAACCAACGAUCAGUAGCCGGUCUGAGAGGAUGAACGGCCACACUGGAACUGAGACACGGUCCAG